rnacentral:misc_RNA from 1 species
GUAUUGAUUAAAUGGUCUUGUUAGUGUGUGGUGUAUUAUAAAGGGUUUAUAGAGGCCGCGGUCGGGGAGCGGGUGAGCCGCGCGCAAAAGAGCUACUCUUGCAACGCUUCUCCCCCACCCAUUUUAUCCCAGCCGGGGCUGUACUCAAAUAUUCCGCACGGGUGUUUAGAGCGGGUGGGCUGGGCGUCUCGCUUGCGCUCGACGCUCAAAUCCUCCCUCUGCUGAUGAUCCUUCCGCAGGUUCACCUACGGAAA